UACGGGGGGGGCAAGCGUUGUUCGGAAUUACUGGGCGUAAAGGGCUCGUAGGUGGCCAACUAAGUCAGACGUGAAAGCCCCGGGCUUACCCCGGGAAGUGCGUUGGAAACUGCGGAGCUAGAGUCCCGGAGAGGGAGGUGGAAUUCCAGGUGUAGCGGUGAAAUGCGUAGAUAUCUGGAGGAAUACCGGUGGCGAAGGCGGCAUCCUGGACCGAGAUUGACACUGAUGAGCGAAAGCUAGGGGAGCAAACGGG
rnacentral:rRNA from 1 species